GACGAACGCUGGCGGCGUGCUUAACACAUGCAAGUCGAGCGGUAAGGCCCUUUCGGGGGUACACGAGCGGCGAACGGGUGAGUAACACGUGGGUGACCUGCCCUCAGCUCUGGGAUAAGCCUGGGAAACCGGGUCUAAUACUGGAUAUGACUCCAUGACGCAUGUUGUGGGGUGGAAAGCCUUGUGCGGCUGAGGAUGGGCCCGCGGCCUAUCAGCUUGUUGGGGGGUGAUGGCCUACCAAGGCGACGACGGGUAGCCGGCCUGAGAGGGCGACCGGGCCACACUGGGACUGAGACACGGCCCAGACUCCUACGGGAGGCAGCAGUGGGGAAUCUUGCGCAAUGGGCGAAAGCCUGACGCAGCGACGCCGCGUGAGGGAUGACGGCU
rnacentral:rRNA from 1 species